GGAAGAGGCAGGAGUGAUCGGAUUAUAAUUGUCGCGCCGUGAUGUGUUUUUGAAGAUUCGUUGAGUGUAACUUGUUUAGUCGCCAAGUUGUGCGUAAAGUUAUUAGUUUCGUGCGUGUGAAUAAAUUGUGCAGGUUGUGGCAUUCUGCGGAGCCGAACACAUCACCCACCAAGUCAACGAUCGCUUCUGACCCCACCGUCAGCUACGAGGCAUUUUCCCGGAAGUACGUCGACCGGAAGAGGGCCUGCGUACGUUCAUCGCACCCUAGGCAGAGGCUAGCAGAAACCCAGUUCAUCGUCAAAUUGCGCCAACUGUCGGUAGUUCAUCGACGCCGUCGCGUGAAGCCCACAUACCGGAGGGAAUCAUCAGCGUCACGCUCAUCGACGCGAGUUUCGAACCACGGUGCGUCUCUGCAUCGAAUGAACGACCGUGGUGAUUUCCGUAAUUCCCUCCACCCCAAGCGUACGCAAACCGUAAGUAAUCAUGCAUGAUUAAGUAAGUCCAUGCGCAUGGCUCAGUUCCCGCCGCUACCGAAGAACUAAAAGUAAGUAGCGUGCCAAUACAGAUUUCACGUGGCUGUCCUUAGCCCAAGCGCUUGCGCUGGCAACCACUCUGAGCACACACACCCACCGACCCAAAUGAACACCGCACGCAAAG